GUUCAGCGUUCCCUCUGCAAUGCUUCUGGAACCCUCCCCUGGAAUCUGCCGCAGAUGUUCCACACACAGCUAAGACACUAAGACUUCAACAAGGCCAAUGGCCCAGGGCACAGCAGAUUCUCGGUGAGGGGACAGGAAGAUGAGCCUGUAUCAGCUCCCUUGCAGCCAGGAUGCUUGUUUGGAAGGCGAUUCAUCACGUUUUAACACUUGGCAGCAUUUGCGUUUCUGUUCCCUCGGAAGGUUCAGAUUUACGAAGAAGAUGAUGGGUUGGUUUGAGAGCAACAACGUUUGACCUAAAAGCUCAGCGACGUUGGGAUUCAGGAAAGAUACUACUCAUGAACUUUAAGCAAAAAACAAAACAACACUUACUUGGCUGAGGACAGGACUUUUGGGGAAACUUCCUGAAGACGAAAGUCUAAACCCAACAAAAAGACAGGGUCUGUGAAUGGCAAUUCUUUUAUGUCUCAUCCAUUUUUGUGACGAUACGUCUCAUCCAUGGCAGGCAAGCACUGUAUCACCGAACUACACCCCGGCCUGUUCUUAUUUCAUGAUGGAGAGAUACUUUUGAACUGGUUGAUGUCAUGGCUUCUAUUAACUAUGCGUCUCAUUGCUGUGACAAAUACCCUGGCCAAACACAACUUAAGGAAGACAGAGUUUGUUUCAGCUCACAGUUCAGGGUAGAAUUCAGCCUGAUGAGGACGUCAUACUGUUACAUCACGUCAGCAGCCAGGAAGCAGAGAACGGUGAAUGGCAGCAAGCCUGGAAUUCCAGAGCAUCCGUCACUGGGCAACAGCACGGCGGUUGAGGAUGCUGUCCCUUGAGGAUGCUGUCCC